rnacentral:rRNA from 1 species
GACGAACGCUGGCGGCGUGCCUAACACAUGCAAGUCGAACGGAGAUGUUGAUUUCGGUUGACGUCUUAGUGGCGAACGGUGAGUAACGCGUGAACAAUCUGACCUUAAGAGGGGAUAACAACGAGAAAUCGUUGCUAAUACCGCAUAAGACCACAAUGCCGCAUGGCGAAGGGGUCAAAGGAGCAAUCCGCUUAAAGGAGGGGUUCGCGUCCCAUUAGGUAGUAGGUGAGGUAACGGCUCACCUAGCCGACGAUGGGUAGCCGAGCUGAGAGGCUGAUCGGCCACACUGGAACUGAGACACGGUCCAGACUCCUACGGGAGGCAGCAGUGGGGAAUAUUGGGCAAUGGGCGCAAGCCUGACCCAGCAACGCCGCGUGAGGGAAGAAGGUUUUCGGAUUGUAAACCUCUGUCGCAGAUGACGAAACAAAUGACGGUAAUCUGUGAGGAAGCCCCGGCUAACUACGUGCCAGCAGCCGCGUAU